rnacentral:lncRNA from 1 species
UACUUCGGAGGGGUUGGUCCUCUUUAUGAACAGUCUUAAAUUCCUUAAUCUCUAUAGCAAAGCAGGGUUAGAAGAAAUCUUGUUGCGAGAUAUGAGCUGGGGACUAAUAUAUAUACUAAAGAGGGUCAGGAAGGGUAAUUUCAAGCUAUUCCGUAAAGCAGUUAAUGGUUGAUGCUAGAAGGAAAAAGAAGAUGAUAAAAUGAUCCUGGUGGAGGAUAAGUUAUUGUUAGUUGAUCAGCAUCUUAUUCCUGUAAAUAUAUUGAGAUUCUUUUUCUUUUUUUCUUUGAAUAAUAGGAAAACAAUGAGAAUAUAUUGGCAAGCGCCAAUAAAAAUAAAAUAAUUUUUUUUUAAAUAAAUAAAUAAAAAAGAGGUGCAUCCCUAGGACAUUGGAAAUAUACAAAGGAUGCUAAAAGGUUAAAAAGAAAAACAAAGAGUUAGCAAGAUCCAAAUAAUCAAUAAAGUGAAGAAGAGAGGAAAAAUUAACUUUCAAACUUCCUCUAGACCACAAAAACAGGGAACAGAUAAACACAUCUUUCAGAGCUUGCACAGAAUGCUCUUUCCCCUUGAGGGUCCUACAGUUUCACUUUUGAAAUUUGCACAAGGGGAGGGAUACUAAGAUAUAUAGAAUUGAGGGAUUGUAAAAAUCCCUCAUUUUUUGACAGAAGAUUGGAUGGUUGGAGAGACUAUUCUUAGAGGAGGAGAUUUAUUAAAAAAAAAAUGUCUUCCAAAUGGAUGGGGAGAACAGGUCUGGGAUUGAUGGCUCUUCCAUAGCUUCUUUUCAGGAAUGUUUGCUCACUUUUGAGUAGGGACCUAUUGAAAUUGUUUGAGUACCUCAGGAAUUGAAAUUUAGAUACAUUAGCUUGGUUACCAUGGUACAUAAGAACUUAUGGGAGGUCCCUUUCAAGUGUUGGUGUGCUGUGCUCAAUGAAAUUAUUCUCCCUUCCAAGGACCUCUGUUGUGAGGCAAGAUAAAUUCUUAAUUAGUUCUGGUUACUAAUCAUUUUUUUUUUUUUUUCUUGAUAAGCAGUUCUGGUUACUAAUAAAUUAUGGAUGAAAAGCUGCAUUUUGGAAGGAGGUUCUAUUUAAGUAUAGUUUGUAAGGAAGCAUACUGCCAUACGGUUUGGUUAGACCAUGCCUUUAAUUUUAAAGGAUUCAGAUGCAGAUAGAGGAGAUGGAUUUGGGGGUAUCUAUUGCCAAUUAGCUUUUGAUAUUUGGACUCUGAUAGAAGAUGAUUCCAAUCCUUGGUUUCUGAGGACAGCAAUGUUUUCAUUUACAUAAUGAAAUUUGCUUGUGGUAAUACACAAUCUAAGGAUUGAGGCCUGUGUUUCAUGGAGCCAACUUUGAAUUGGGAGCUUUUAGGAAUGAUACAACAGCGUUUUCUGUUAAUUACUUCUUUCAUCAACUCUAAGUGUUACAAGCUGCAGAUGCUUGUGAACUUUGCAUAUCUAUACAAGUAUUUAUGCAUGUACGUAUGGAUUGGAUUAAGUAGUGUUGAGCUAAUUAUAGAAACUGCAUAUUUUGGUUAAGAAGGAUGAUUGCUUUUGAAGAUAUUUGGAGUAUGACCCUCUUUUCUAUCACUCAUGAAAAUCAAACAUUCAUUUUCUUCUUCUUUGCACCCUUUUCUGUUAAGCUUAAAGGCUAAUCUCGAUUUGAGGAGUAGUAAAGAAAGAAAAUAAUAAUAAUAACAAUAAUGUGAAGGACUCUCAUUUGGCUUGCAAUGGAAAAUAUGGAUAUGGAGAAAAUAAAAUAUAAGGGAAAUUAUUUAAAACUAGUAAUUAUAAUAGUAAUAAUAAUAAUAGGAAGGAAUUGUUAUUCUCUCAUUUGGUUAGCAAUGGAAAAUAUGGAGAACAUGAAAUUUAAUGAACUAGUAUAGUUUCAAAUUCAUAUUCUUCAUUCAAGGAAGGAAUAAUAUUGAAAAAAGACAGGACAAAAAAUUAUGGAUCUUAAACUUAUGUUUUAUGUUCCUUAACUUUUUUUUUGCUUCCCUUUUUCCUCAUUCCCCCCCUCCCCCCCUCAUUUGCUCUCUGAAACUUCCUUUGAUCCAAAUAGAGACUACAUUACUCAAGUGCCAAGUGCACCUUUCUUCUUCACAGAUCCACUAUCGUAUAAUCUCAUUGAAUUUCCUAAAUAACUAAUUGCCAGGUGGUUGCUGCAAUGUGCUCAAAAGUACCCUUUAUUAGCAAUGCAAUUAUGAAAGCUUCUGGUUGUGGUAUGUAAUUAUAGUCCUUUUUUUUUUUUUUGAUAAAUAAAGAGAUUGUAAUUAUAGUCCUUUUACCACUGUUUUGACUAACAUCAC